AUUUGUCUGGUUAAUUAUGAUAACGAAUGAGACCUCAUCCUGCUAACUAGCUAUGCGGAGGUUCCCCUUCGUGGCCAGCUUCAUAGAGGGACUAUGGCCAUUUAGGCCAUGGAAGUUUGAGGCAAUAAUAGGUCUGUGAUGCCCUUAUAUGCUCUGGGAUGCACGCGUGCUACACUGAUGCAGUCAAUGAGUUUUUCUCCCUGGUUCGAGACGAUCGACAAAUCUUCUCAAAUUGCAUCGUGAUGGGGAUAGACUAUUGCAAUUAUUGGUCUUCAACAAGGAAUUCCUAGUAAGCACAUGUCAUCAGCUCAUGUUAACUACGUCCCUACCCUUUGUACACACCGCCCGUCACUCCUACUGAUUGAAUGAUCCGGUGAAGUGUUUGGAUCGUGUCAACGAGGGUGGUUCGUUGUCGAUGAUUUAGUGAGAAGUUCACUGAACCUUAUCAUUUAGAGGAAGGAGAAGUCGUAACAAGGUUACCAUAGGUGAACUCGCGGUAGGAUCAUUG
rnacentral:ncRNA from 1 species